AUACGGAGGAUCCGAGCGUUAUCCGGAUUUAUUGGGUUUAAAGGGAGCGUAGGUGGAUUGUUAAGUCAGUUGUGAAAGUUUGCGGCUCAACCGUAAAAUUGCAGUUGAAACUGGCAGUCUUGAGUACAGUAGAGGUGGGCGGAAUUCGUGGUGUAGCGGUGAAAUACUUAGAUAUCACGAAGAACUCCGAUUGCGAAGGCAGCUCACUAGACUGUUACUGACACUGAUGCUCGAAAGUGUGGGUAUCAAACAGGAUUAGAUACCCUGGUAGUCCACACAGUAAACGAUGAAUACUCGCUGUUUGCGAUAUACAGUAAGCGGCCAAGCGAAAGCAUUAAGUAUUCCACCUGGGGAGUACGCCGGCAACGGUGAAACUCAAAUGAAUUGACGGGG
rnacentral:rRNA from 1 species